rnacentral:rRNA from 1 species
UACGUAGGGGGCAAGCGUUGUCCGGAAUUAUUGGGCGUAAAGAGCGCGUAGGCGGUCCGGUAAGUCCGCUCUGAAAGUCCGGGGCUCAACCCCGGGAGGCGGGCGGAUACUGUCGGGCUAGAGUCCGGAAGAGGCGAGUGGAAUUCCAGGUGUAGUGGUGAAAUACGUAGAUAUCUGGAGGAACACCGGUGGCGAAGGCGGCUAUCUGGUCGAGUACUGACACUGAGACACGAAAGCAUGGGGAUCAAACAGG